AGCAGCCGCGGUAAUUCCAGCUCCAAUAGCGUAUAUUAAAGUUGUUGCAGUUAAAAAGCUCGUAGUUGAAUUUCGGAAUCAGUACGCUGGUCGUGCCUUCGGUAUGUACUGGUGUCACUGAUUCCUCCCUUCUGAAGAACCAUCAUGCCAUUCACUUGGUGUGGUGGGGAAUCAGGACUGUUACUUUGAAAAAUUAGAGUGUUUAAAGCAGGCUCGCGCUUGAAUACAUUAGCAUGGAAUAAUGAAAUAGGACGUUAAUCCUAUUUUGUUGGUUUCUAGGAUCGACGUAAUGAUUAAUAGGGAUAGUUGGGGGCAUUAGUAUUCAAUUGUCAGAGGUGAAAUUCUUGGAUUUAUUGAAGACUAACUACUGCGAAAGCAUUUGCCAAGGAUGUUUUCAUUAAUCAAGAACGAAAGUUAGGGGAUCGAAGACGAUCAGAUACCGUCGUAGUCUUAACCAUAAACUAUGCCGACUAGGGAUCGGAUGAUGUUAAUUUUUAAUGAUUCU
rnacentral:sRNA from 1 species